GCGUUCCCUUCCCUCACCUGGCGGGCCCGGGUUCACUUGUCCUCUCCAUCCGGGUGGGUCCGGGCGCCAGCUCCUCCUCCUCGAGGUGAGUGGCGGCCCCAGGCUGCUUCUGAGUGGCUCCUACCUUGCUCAGGUACUUCUUCCCUUCCGCUUUCUAUGUGACCGGAGUGCCUGGGCCAGUCUUGCCCGAAAUCACAGAAGCUGCAGCUUCUAGCACAAAGUUCCACUGAGGGAUUGCAUCGUGCGUCCUGGAGCCUUGAAGAUUACAGAUUAUUUCCCUGACUGGAAAAAAAAAAAAAAAAGCCUAAUCCAAAGUUCCAAAAGACCUAGCUGCUAUCCACAGUCAAGGACGUUACGACUUUUGGCCUAAGGUGAACUACAAGGAUUUGUAGGACUUAGUGCAAAGAAAACCCAAGUUAGUUCUGAACAUUGCUUGGGAUUCCAGCUUUUAUAUCUAGAAUGAAUGCAGUUUGGAAGCUUUAGCUGUUAGAGAAGACUGAGGGAGACCCAGCUGACUUGAAUUCCACUUCCCUCACUCCUGAUCAUCUUCAAGAGAGGAAAUCCCAGCAUUGUCCACAAGUUCCUGUAGUAUGAUCCAGUCUCCACUACACCUGUCCUUCCAUGAGAUAAAAGAAUAAACAGUUCUUUGUAUGGUUUCGAUGGGUUCCAUCCA